CAGUCUUCGCAACGAAUACAUAGGGGAGCAGGGAGACGAAAAGGAUGAAGGUGGUCGGCGGUGGUCGGAGGUGGUCGGAGGUGGUUGGAGCUGUUCGGAAAUGGUAAGAGGUGGUAGGUGCUGGUAGGAGGUGGCAGGAGGCAGCAGGGGGUGGUAGGAGGCGUUUGGCGGUGGUUGGAGCGGGUAGGAAGUGUUUGGCGGUGGUUGGGAAGCGAUCGGCGGCGGUCGAGAAAGACGAGGACGACGAAUGGCGUGGAGGAGGAGGAGAAGGACGGUGACAAGGUGGUCGAGGAGGACGAUGGUCGUCGGAGGCGGUUGGCCGCGGUUAAGCGUCUUCCCACGGGGAUGAUCGAGCUGAUCGACAUAUCUAAGUCGCAGUCGACAAGUAGUCUUACGUACUCAUUUUGUACCGACUCAAUCUCAAGCUUUCAUACCGACACUACUGUGGCUGCUACGAAUGUCGGUGCGAGCCCGUUAGGUAAAGUCGACUGAGCAAACCCCUUUUACGCUCCCAGGCCCACCUGGGCCCACUUGCCCGCCGAAAACUGGUCAUAAAAAUUUACCCGGGGGUAUCCGUCUUUAUAAAAAGUGUAGAAUUGCUUUCACUUCCGAAAGGGAGAUACAGACGUAUAAAAGCACACACAUAGCCUGAGAGAAUCCAUGCCAUCAUUAAUCUUUUUGUAAACAUGUCACGAUUCAACAAGGAAAUAUUCAGGUGACAGGAGCUCGCUCAUGA